CGGACGGGUGAGUAACGCGUGAGAAUCUGCCCUCAGGAGGGGGAUAACGGUUGGAAACGGCCGCUAAUACCCCAUAUGCCGAGAGGUGAAAGGAAUUUCGCCUGAGGAUGAGCUCGCGUCUGAUUAGCUAGUUGGUGGGGUGAAGGCCUACCAAGGCGACGAUCAGUAGCUGGUCUGAGAGGAUGAUCAGCCACACUGGGACUGAGACACGGCCCAGACUCCUACGGGAGGCAGCAGUGGGGAAUUUUCCGCAAUGGGCGAAAGCCCGACGGAGCAACGCCGCGUGAGGGAUGAAGGCCUCUGGGCUGUAAACCUCUUUUCUCAAGGAAGAAGACCUGACGGUACUUGAGGAAUAAGCCACGGCUAAUUCCGUGCCAGCAGCCGCGGUAAUACGGGAGUGGCAAGCGUUAUCCGGAAUUAUUGGGCGUAAAGCGUCCGCAGGCGGCCUCGUAAGUCUGUCGUUAAAGCGUGGAGCUUAACUCCAUUUCAGCGAUGGAAACUGCGAGGCUUGAGUGUGGUAGGGGCAGAGGGAAUUCCCGGUGUAGCGGUGAAAUGCGUAGAUAUCGGGAAGAACACCAGUGGCGAAGGCGCUCUGCUGGGCCAUAACUGACGCUCAUGGACGAAAGCCAGGGGAGCGAAAGGGAUUAGAUACCCCUGUAGUCCUGGCCGUAAACGAUGAACACUAGGUGUCGGGGGAAUCGACCCCCUCGGUGUCGUAGCCAACGCGUUAAGUGUUCCGCCUGGGGAGUACGCACGCAAGUGUGAAACUCAAAGGAAUUGACGGGGGCCCGCACAAGCGGUGGAGUAUGUGGUUUAAUUCGAUGCAACGCGAAGAACCUUACCAGGGUUUGACAUCCUGCGAACCCCUGAGAAAUCGGGGGGUGCCUUCGGGAACGCAGUGACAGGUGGUGCAUGGCUGUCGUCAGCUCGUGUCGUGAGAUGUUGGGUUAAGUCCCGCAACGAGCGCAACCCACGUCUUUAGUUGCCAGCAUUCAGUUGGGCACUCUAGAGAGACCGCCGGUGAUAAACCGGAGGAAGGUGUGGAUGACGUCAAGUCAUCAUGCCCCUUACAUCCUGGGCUACACACGUACUACAAUGCUACGGA
rnacentral:rRNA from 1 species